rnacentral:rRNA from 1 species
GACGAACGCUGGCGGCGUGCCUAAUACAUGCAAGUAGAACGCUGAAGGAGGAGCUCGCUCUUCUGGAUGAGUUGCGAACGGGUGAGUAACGCGUAGGUAACCUGCCUGGUAGCGGGGGAUAACUAUUGGAAACGAUAGCUAAUACCGCAUAACAGUAGAUGUUGCAUGACAUUUGCUUAAAAGGUGCAAUUGCACCACUACCAGAUGGACCUGCGUUGUAUUAGCUAGUUGGUGGGGUAACGGCUCACCAAGGCGACGAUACAUAGCCGACCUGAGAGGGUGAUCGGCCACACUGGGACUGAGACACGGCCCAGACUCCUACGGGAGGCAGCAGUAGGGAAUCUUCGGCAAUGGACGGAAGUCUGACCGAGCAACGCCGCGUGAGUGAAGAAGGUUUUCGGAUCGUAAAGCUCUGUUGUAAGAGAAGAACGAGUGUGAGAGUGGAAAGUUCACACUGUGACGGUAUCUGACCAGAAAGGGACGGCUAACUACGUG